rnacentral:rRNA from 1 species
GCAACGUUAAUCGACGCAGGGGUAGUCGCUCCCUAAGGCGAGGCUGAAAAGCGUAGUCGAUGGAAAACAGGUUAAUAUUUCUGUACUUCUGGUUAUUGCGAUGGAGGGACGGAGAAGGCUAGGCCAGCUUGGCGUUGGUUGUCCAAGUUUAAGGUGGUAGGCUGCGAUCUUAGGUAAAUCCGGGAUCUUAAGGCCGAGAGCUGAUGACGAGUUACCCUUUGGGUGACGACGUGGUUGAUGCCAUGCUUCCAAGAAAAGCUUCUAAGCUUCAGGUAACCAGGAACCGUACCCCAAACCGACACAGGUGGUUGGGUAGAGAUUACCAAGGCGCUUGAGAGAACUCGGGUGAUGGAACUAGUCAAAAUGGCACCGU